rnacentral:rRNA from 1 species
UACGUAGGGUGCGAGCGUUAAUCGGAAUUACUGGGCGUAAAGCGUGCGCAGGCGGUUCGUUAAGUUCGAUGUGAAAGCCCCGGGCUCAACCUGGGAACUGCAUUGGAAACUGGCGAGCUUGAAUGCGGCAGAGGGGGGGUGGAAUUCCGCGUGUAGCAGUGAAAAUGCGUAGAGAUGCGGAGGAACACCGAUGGCGAAGGCGCCUUGCUGGCCAAUUACUGACGCUGAGGCGCGAAAGCGUGGGGAGCAAACAGG